rnacentral:lncRNA from 1 species
UUAUGUUUUGAAUCUCUUUUUUUUCCCCUCUGUUAAUGACUUGAUGCUUUCUACAGGAUUACAAGGAAAAACCGGAUUAUGCUCGCUGUGUUGCAAUUGUAGCAUCCGCAUCAUUAAGAGAGAUGAUAAAACCUGGUGCUUUGGCAAUCAUUUCACCUAUUGUAGUUGGUGAGUUUACUUCUGUUUUUUAAUUUUAAGAGAGAUGAUAAUACCUGGUGCUUUGGCAAUCAUUUCACCUAUUGUAGUUGGUGAGUUUACUUCUGUUUUUUAAUUUCGUUUGCAUAUAUAUUAUAUUACUAGUGAACCUGUGGGAGAAAUUCAACAUUUAUUCAAGUUUUGGGUUGUACCAUAAUCAUCACAUUAAAUGCAAAUGAAUAUUUGUGGCUAUUUCAGGAGCAGAUAAAAUAACUAUAUAUUGUGUUAAAUUUCUAGAGGCAGAAAUUUUUUAAAUGUUUCAGCAUGUAUUCGUGAAAGAUAGUAUAUUCCUCACAAUCCUCAAAUCAAUGAAUCUUGAACUAGUUUUGGAGAUCCUAUCUCUCUUAUCUCUGAGUCUUUCUAUUUAUCUGGUUUGAUUUCUUGAUUAUGAACUCUUCAGGCUUUCCUUGUAAUUGUUCCACCGGUACAUUUUUAAUAGCAGUUGUAUAUUCCUUUUGGCAUUGAAGAG